rnacentral:lncRNA from 1 species
UGCCCCAGGCAAGGUAAAACAAGGGAUAAAACUUAUGGUUUUUUGCUUGUGGGACAGACACGAGGGAGAGAAGACACCAGUUCUCUCUGGUUAAUAAAGCUUAUUCAUAACCUUAAUUCCAGUUUAUUAACCUUAGAUAUAACAAGUCGUGCUGUAAUUGUAGUUGUUCAGGGAGCACAGGGCAGUUUUUUCCUAGAGGGUAUCAAAUUCUGUGUUAUUAUUAUAUAUGCAGUAAAUCUCCAUUAAAAGGCUUUCUGUAAAUGUUUCAAGGCUAUGCCGGAUAGAAGGGUACUCCAUCUCAGUUUCCAGGCGGGGUAUUAUCUAUUUUAAAUGUCCUGCAAUAAGAGUUGCCUUAUUUGUCUCUCACAAAAAACAAUACAGUGCCUCACGAGCGGCUUGUUGUUUUGGAGGAAGAAAGACAGAAGCUGAACUUUGGUGACUGCUGUGUCGGUCUUGUGUGAGCCUGAGUUAAAAUGUGAGUUCUCCAUAGAGCCUGGCUGCGAUCUUUUGCUGCCUGGCAAAACAAGGAAACGACAGGAUAGAAAUUCACCGAGCCUAACUCUACUGCUUCCUUUUCUUUUUCUCUCCCUUUCAUAUAAAUCACACCCUUUUGAAGCCGCUUGCUUUUCUUUCGUGGGCACAAACCCCUCGUCUUUUUAAAGUCUGCCUUUAAAGCUAAUUGUUUCAACAGGACAAGAAACUUGUAAAAGGCAGCUCCAGCUUAUCUCCAGUUUGUCUUCCCAGGAAUGCUUGUAAGAGAAGUGUCCAUUCGUACAAUAGGAGCGACUGUUCAAAGGCUGGUAGGAGAAGAAAAGAGAACUGCAAGAAGUAAUCCUCGGAGCAGAUUUCUUACUGGAGUCGCUGCGGCUUUGGCCCCUUUGAUAGGAAAACUGGCAACAUCCUUCUGCAAGAAGAUGGAGAUGUCAGCUUUCAGACCCCCACGUGCCACAGGAUGACAGUGUGCUCCUGCCUGCCCCCAACCUCCUCCUUUGGCCUGGUCGUUAUACCCAAGGCCUCGCUCAAGACUAACAGCACUUUCCUAAUAAAUAGUAUCACCGUGUCA